UACGUAGGGUGCGAGCGUUAAUCGGAAUUACUGGGCGUAAAGCGUGCGCAGGCGGUUGUGCAAGACAGAUGUGAAAUCCCCGGGCUUAACCUGGGAACUGCAUUUGUGACUGCACGGCUAGAGUGUGUCAGAGGGGGGUAGAAUUCCACGUGUAGCAGUGAAAUGCGUAGAUAUGCGGAGGAAUACCGAUGGCGAAGGCAGCCCCCUGGGAUAACACUGACGCUCAUGCACGAAAGCGUGGGGAGCAAACAGG
rnacentral:rRNA from 1 species